CUUUGUCUUCUCACAUGUUUGAAGGCAGAAUGGGAAAGCACCUUCCCCCGUGUCUGAAAGCAGCAUGGGAAAGCACCAGCUUGGGAACAACCGGUGCAGUCCUGGGAAUUUAUCUGCCCACAAAAUCAUAUCUUGUCUUCAAAGACGAGCCAAGACGCCUCACUCUGAAAAUAGGGAGACCUUGAGGACAUGUGAAAACACCACCCCUGCUUACUAGGCAGUUUCUAAGAAAAUCAACAAGGUGCUCUGGCCUGCCCCCGCUGAGAAGGGAAAGAUGAGUAUAGCACUUGGCUGAGAUCCGAGAAAGACAGUAUAAAAAUAAAGGUGCUGCGCCACAUCGGGGCUGCAGCCAUUGCCUAUCUGUGCUGUCUGUGUUUUUUGUUCUCUCAUGUCACCCAAAGAAAACGUGUGGAACGCUACAUCUGGUGCCCAACGUGGGGCUCGAGUGGACGACCCCACUGUGAGGCAGGACCUCACAACCCUGAAGAAAUUGGAGAGGGGAUGCCAGGGGUGACUUGAGACCCAGAAGGGGACCAACAUCGGGUGACGGACGAUCAGCAGUGGAAAUACGUUUUUCUGAUAAUAUUUCCUUUUCUGAAACCACAACAGUUCCUGUGUGGUAAUCUCCAAUGGGUUCUUCACUAUGGCAUAAAAGUCAUAUCAAGGUGUGGGGCAAAGAGUUUGCUGUGUUGUUACAGAGGAUCAACGCUUGAUCUAGCUACCCAGAGAAUGAAUUCAGAUACAAUAUAAAGAAGAACUUCCAACAUCAACAUCCUCUAGAAGAAUCAUUCCAGAAGGUGACCAUCAAAAAACCUCAACAAAAGUCUGCACAUCAGACAUGGAAAACUGAAGCCCAACUAAAUAAUAGUAUCUUUGUUUUUAUUUCCGAUAAUGGCACUUACAUAUGUACAUACUACACAAGCUUGCAUUAUAACAGCAAGUGUAAGCAACCCCCCUUAUUUAAGCCGUGGUGUAGCUCUGUAUUGCUUAUCUACUUGCUCCACUCCUGUAGGCCCUAUAGUAUGGAAAAAGAAUGGUGAAGAAAUAUAGAGACAAAUGAUGGAGGAAAACUUGGAUGGAAUGAUAUUGCUGAUCGGUCUGUUAGAGAUGGUGAUCAUUGUGAUAUUUAUAAAGCAGUUUUAUCCAGAGAAGAUAUUGGCAACUACACCUGUGAAAAGUUUCAAAAAAGAACUCCUAUCAUAGAGUAAUUAUGUGUAUUUAAAUAUAUCACUCAUGCCAGAAAAUAAUUUUUCCUCACUUAACUUGUGGUUACAACAACUCGCACGCUAAGGGUUGGUUGCACAGGUCAUCUUUUUGUGUAGCAAGAGAUUCCUCUAUCAGUGAACUGCUGAAGAAGAAUUUAAUAGGCACAAGACUUCCUCUUACAGUGUUCACUAAUGUAUCAGGCAUAAACAUCACUCUUCCCCCUAAAGUGCUUGCUCCUGAUGCCCAAUUAAAUUUACCUGUUAGUACUACUAUAAUUAUUGAUUGUGUAUGUAUUAAUUGUACUCAUGUACCGUCUUACUGUGAUUCUACAAUCAAUGUAAAAUUGGUCUUCUAGAUAUAGACUUCUGAAUGGUUGGGUAUCUUUGUGUGAUAAUGAAACAUAUCAAGCCCUCUCUCCACACUAUCAAGGUGUUUGUGGUGUGGGAUACAUUCUUCCUGCCAUAAUAAAUCAUCCAAGAUAAAAGCCCAAUAGACUUCUCCGAGCUCUGCCAUCUGAUUGUGAUGAAAACUUGAAACUUUCAGAUCCUGCCGCUAUUGCAGUUGCAGCUGCAUUCCUCCUGCAGGUUCCUGGACUUGUCGUUAGAAUGUUAAAGGAGAUAUCUAAGCUGGCCUGCGCAUAUAGCAAAACAACAAAUUUGACUGCUUCUAUAUUAUCUGAACUCAACCAAGAACUGGGAGAAGUGCGAGUUGCGGUACUCCAGAAUCACGCUACUAUAGAUUGUCUGCUGUUAAAAGAACAUGAAAGAUGUAAGCAGUUUCCAAGAAUGUGCUGUUUCAAUUUGUCUGAUUUUUCUCAAACUACCCAAAAUCAAUUAGAUGAUAUCCAUCAUAUUGUCAAUAAGUUUUUACAAAUGCCUGAGCUAUCUAACUGGUUUUCUUAAUUUCAUUAGAUAUAACUAGUAAUUGUAAGUCUGCCUUUGUUAUGUAUCUGUAUUCCUAUUCUGUUAAUGUGUGUAUGCAAUUUAACUAGUAGUUUGUUAAAACCUAUAUAUAUAUUCAAAUUAUGUCUAUCGACAUGUUCAAUCUCAGCCCUGUAAUAUUUAAAGAAAGGAGGAGAUGUAGGGGAAGGCCUUUGUCUUCUCACAUGUUUGAAGGCAGAAUGAGAAAGCACCUUCCCCCAUGUCUGAAAGCAGCAUGGGAAAGCACCAGCUUGAGAACAACCGGUGCAGUUCUGGGAAGUUAUCUGCCCACAAAAUCAUAUCUUGUUCUCAAAGACGAGCCAAGACACCUCACUCUGAAAAUAGGGAGACCUUGAGGACAUGUGAAAACACCACCCCUGCUUACUAGGCAGUUUCUAAGAAAAUCAACAAGGUGCUCUGGCCUGCCCCCGCUGAGAAGGGAAAGAUGAGUAUAGCACUUGGCUGAGAUCCGAGAAAGACAGUAUAAAAAUAAAGGUGCUGCGCCACAUUGGGGCUGCAGCCAUUGUCUAUC